rnacentral:lncRNA from 1 species
CAGAGUCUUAUUUCUCUUCUUUCUUUCUUUCCAUUGUUUUUGAUUUGAUGUUACAUGAUUGAUAACAGCAUUUUGUGCCAUGGGAAUCUUGCUCUCUUUGACUGUGCUGGUUACCUCUGCUUUUUCACAGAAGAAGCCAGCCAAGAGUCUCUAAAAGAUGUCUUGAAUGAUCUCAGUGAAGAUCCAGGAUCCCAGGAGAUCAUUUGCAGCUCUUUAACAAGAAAAAGCAGUGAGAGCAGCACCUAUAUGUUUUGGUUCACGUCCAGCUGUUAAGACCCAGAAAAGCUAGAAACAGCAGCAGACUGGCAAAAUAAGGGUAAGAAGCAAAGAUAAAUCAAUAUUGUGCAUUAUACAGUUUCAC